AGUGAACGCUGGCGGCAUGCCUAACACAUGCAAGUCGAACGGCAGCACGGUAAGAUUGCUCUUUUACUGGUGGCGGCGGGCGGGCGGGUGACAAGUACAUCGGAUUCUUCUUUUUCUGGGGGGAUUUCGUAGGGCAACUGAUACUACUACCGCAUACUUUGUACGGGAGGGUUCAAGGGUGCUUGAGACCUUUGGUGUUUCAAUGAGCCGGAUCCGCGCUGCAUUAGCUAGUUGGUAAGGUAACGGCCUACCAAGGCAACGAUGCGUAGCCGAGCUGAGAGGAUGAUCAGCCACACUGGAACUGAGACACGGUCCAGACUCCUACGGGAGGCAGCAGUGGGGAAUCUUGGACAAUGGGCGAAAGCCUGACCCAGCAAUGCCGCGUGAGUGAAGAAGGCCUUCGGGUUGUAAAGCCCUUUUAUUAGGGAAGAAAAGCUGCGGAAGAAUCCGCCCAUGUCUUGACGGUACCCAAAGAAUAAGCAACGGCUAACUACGUG
rnacentral:rRNA from 1 species